GAUGAAGAACGAAGCGAAAUGCGAUAAGUAAUGUGAAUUGCAGAAUUCAGUGAAUCAUCGAAUCUUUGAACGCACAUUGCGCCCGGUAGUAUUCUGCCGGGCAUGCCUGUUCGAGCGUCAUUUCAACCAUCAAGCCCCAGCGCUUGUGUUGGGGGCCUGCGGCUGCCGCAGCCCCCUAAAAGCAGUGGCGGGCUCGCUAUCACACCGAGUGCAGUAGUUCAUCUUCUCUCCGGUCUUGUGAGGCGGGUUCCGGCCGUGAAACACCCCACUACAUUCAAGGUUGACCUCGGAUCAGGUAGGAAUACCCGCUGAACUUAAGCAUAUCAAUAAGCGGAGGA
rnacentral:misc_RNA from 1 species